rnacentral:rRNA from 1 species
UACGCAGGGUGCGAGCGUUGUCCGGAAUCACUGGGCGUAAAGGGCGCGUAGGCGGCAUGCCAAGCGUGUGGUGAAAGCCCGGGGCUCAACCCCGGGUCGGCCGUGCGGACUGGCGUGCUCGAGCACUGUAGGGGCGGGUGGAAUUCCGGGUGUAGCGGUGGAAUGCGUAGAGAUCCGGAAGAACACCGGUGGCGAAGGCGGCCCGCUGGGCAGGAAGGCUCGCAAGAGCCGGCUGACGCUGAGGCGCGACAGCGUGGGGAGCAAACAGG